rnacentral:rRNA from 1 species
GAACUUAAGCAUAUUAAUAAGCGGAGGAAAAGAAACCAACAGGGAUAUUCUCAGUAACGGCGAGUGAAGAGAAUAAAGCCCAGCGCUGAAUCGUAUUGCUCGCAAGGGUAGUACGACAUGUAGCGUGAAACUGGCGGCUGUUGAUGUUGUCGAUGCGUGUAAGUCUCCUUGAGCGGGGCUCAGUCCCAGAGAUGGUGCUAGGCCCGUAUCGCGCAUGACAAGUACAGCAACGCCCGCUUGUGGAGAGUCAGGUUGUUUGGGAACACAAUCUAAAGCCGGUGGUACACUCCAUCGAAGGCUAAAUAUGGCCACGAGUCCGAUAGCGAACAAGUACCGUGAGGGAAAAUUGAAAAGCACUUUGAAGAGAGAGCGAAAUAGUGCGUGAAACCGCUUAGAGGCAAGCAGAUGGAAUCUCGAAGGUGUGCAUAGGAUUUUUUAUAGUUUCCUAGUUCUCACGCCACCACUGUUGUUGACGUGCACCACACGCUGACAUUUGGACGCUUGAGAUUGGGACUCGUGCCUGCUUGAGACGCUCGGUGUUGGACGUGUUGAGUUUCUGUGGCAUGCAAUAACAGAGCAGAGCAUUUGUCGUCGCUGUAAAGCGCCGACUGUAGCCGCUUGCUGAUGCAUACUCUCGUUGUGGCGAGGCGCAAGCUUCGACAUGCGAUGUGUAUUGCAACUCGGCUACUAGUACCGGCAAGACGACUUUAAGACUCGGUGGCGAGUA